GAUGAAGAACGUAGCGAAAUGCGAUAAGUAAUGUGAAUUGCAGAAUUCAGUGAAUCAUCGAAUCUUUGAACGCACCUUGCACCCUUUGGCCAUUCCGAAGGGCAUGCCUGUUUGAGUAUCAUGAACACCUCAACUCUUCAUGGUUUUCCAUGAUGAGCUUGGACUUUGGGGGUCUUGCUGGCCUGUGGGUCGGCUCCUCUCAAAUGAAUCAGCUUGCCGGUUUUUGGUUGGCAUCACAGGUGUGAUAACUAUCUACGCUUGUGGUUUUCCACCAGUGUAACCUUCAGCAGUGGAGGUUCACUGGAGCUUACAAAUGUCUCUCCUCUGUGAGGACAGCCCUUUGAAUGUUUGAUCUCAAAUCAGGUAGGACUACCCGCUGAACUUAAGCAUAUCAAUAAGCGGAGGA
rnacentral:misc_RNA from 1 species